rnacentral:rRNA from 1 species
GAUCAUGGCUCAGGAUGAACGCUAGCUACAGGCUUAACACAUGCAAGUCGAGGGGCAGCAUGACGGAAGCUUGCUUUCGUUGAUGGCGACCGGCGCACAGGUGAGUAACGCGUAUCCAACCUGCCCUUGUCCAUCGGAUAACCCGUCGAAAGGCGGACUAACACGAUAUGCAGUUCUCAGCAGGCAUCUAACGAGAACGAAAUGUGAAGGGAGAAGGAUGGGGG